AUGGCCUGGACACUGCUUCUGUUCCACCUCAUUACUCUCUGCAUAGGUUCUAUAGCUUCCUAUGUGCUCACUCAGCCCUCCUCAGUGUCCAAGUCUCUGGGACAACCAGCCAGCCUGUCCUGUAAUGGGGAUGGAAUUGGUAACAAAUAUGUAUCCUGGUACCAGCAGAAACCUGGCCAAGCCCCAGUACCAGUUAUUUAUAAGAACAGCAAUUGGCCCUCAGGGAUCCCUGACCGUUUCUCUGGCUCCAACUCAGGGAACACAGCCACACUAAGCAUCUCCAGGCUCCAGACAGAGGAUGAGGCCGAUUACUACUGUAUGGCAUGGAAUAAUGAUAUUAAAGUACACAGUGAUACAGACUGA